CGAGAAUGAAGCUAGCCAUGCAGAGGUGGAUGAAGCAAAGGCUGCGCUGAGGGCCGCAGCGGAGGACCACCACAACCGUCCCGCCCUUGAGAUAUGGUGACGCAUGCAAAGGGAAAGGCGGACGAAGCGAGGCAUGCAAUUGAGGUCGAUUCAUCAAAUCUUGCACCCAGGUAGCAUGAGUUAAUAAAUCUCGUCGACAUGGACUCGAUCGUGCGUGCCUCCAACUCCGGUGCCGCUUCUUCUCCAACCAGUACAGCCUGCACACUGCGUUUGCCUUGCCGUUUGAUCCAUGCUCGUUCUGCAACAAGAUGAAGCUGUUAUUCUGUCCACUCAUGUCAAUUUACUUCCGUCAAUUCAAGAACCAUAAAGUUUGAAGGGCUUCCCCUGCAUUUUGCCCUUAUGAACCAUUAGUUAUUGUGGUUUGCCUGCUCUCCUACAUUCUUCUUUACAAUCCUUUGUUUGUAACAGCUUCUAUUUCAGACUAGAUGUUUAUUCUAGACUGUAAGCAAAAUUGUCACGUUCAGUUUGUAUUACG